AUUGAACGCUGGCGGCAUGCCUUACACAUGCAAGUCGAACGGUAACAGGUCUUCGGAUGCUGACGAGUGGCGAACGGGUGAGUAAUACAUCGGAACGUGCGCGAUCGUGGGGGAUAACGGAGCGAAAGCUUUGCUAAUACCGCAUACGAUCUACGGAUGAAAGCAGGGGACCGCAAGGCCUUGCGCGGACGGAGCGGCCGAUGGCAGAUUAGGUAGUUGGUGGGAUAAAAGCUUACCAAGCCGACGAUCUGUAGCUGGUCUGAGAGGACGACCAGCCACACUGGGACUGAGACACGGCCCAGACUCCUACGGGAGGCAGCAGUGGGGAAUUUUGGACAAUGGGCGCAAGCCUGAUCCAGCCAUGCCGCGUGCAGGAUGAAGGCCUUCGGGUUGUAAACUGCUUUUGUACGGAACGAAAAGACUCUUUCUAAUAAAGAGGGUCCAUGACGGUACCGUAAGAAUAAGCACCGGCUAACUACGUGCCAGCCGCCGCAGUAAUAC
rnacentral:rRNA from 1 species